AUGAACGCUGGCGGCGUGCCUAAUCCAUGCAAGUCGAGCGAACGGACGAGAAGCUUGCUUCUCUGAUGUUAGCGGCGGACGGGUGAGUAACACGUGGAUAACCUACCUAUAAGACUGGGAUAACUUCGGGAAACCGGAGCUAAUACCGGAUAAUAUUUUGAACCGCAUGGUUCAAAAGUGAAAGACGGUCCUGCUGUCACUUAUAGAUGGAUCCGCGCUGCAUUAGCUAGUUGGUAAGGUAACGGCUUACCAAGGCAACGAUGCAUAGCCGACCUGAGAGGGUGAUCGGCCACACUGGAACUGAGACACGGUCCAGACUCCUACGGGGGGCAGCAGUAGGGAAUCUUCCGCAAUGGGCGAAAGCCUGACGGAGCAACGCCGCGUGAGUGAUGAAGGUCUUCGGAUCGUAAAACUCUGUUAUUAGGGAAGAACAUAUGUGUAAGUAACUGUGCACAUCUUGACGGUACCUAAUCAGAAAGCCACGGCUAACUACGUG
rnacentral:rRNA from 1 species